GCUGUUGUAAUAGUAGUAUUAGUUUUGCAGAAGUAGUAGUAGUAGUAGUAGUACUAGUAGUAGAAGUAAAAGUAGUAACUUUCAAAGCAAUGUCUACAAGUUUAAAUUCCUUAACCCCGUUCAAGGUGUUUACACACUCAAUAUUUAACUACAGUCCAGGUUUGCAAUUAACAAACUAUCUGAAAAGCCUGUGUGUGAGUCAGAUGUGUCUGCGGCUAAUCUAUUGGUUAUAAAAUAUCACAGCCUUUUCUGAUUGGCUGAGUUCAAAUACAGAAAGUUUACCUGUUAGAUUGAAAUUAUGGAGAAGGCGUAUUGAAGAUAAAAUGCAGGUUAAACUUGUUGUUAAAAUGAAGUUAAUGUAAUUUCACAAACAGUAGAGUUUAACUUAAUGAGUUUUUCCAUUAACAAGAAUUUCUUAAAAUAAUAAUGUAUGGAUAUCAUUUGGAAAGUGACAUGAAAUGUUGUUAAAAAGUGAUGCAUACAAGUGUUUCAGAAGUCUGUCUAGGAAUAGAACAACAACUGAAGCUGACCAGUUGAUGGAAGAUACUGCAGAGUUUGGCAGGGAAAUAACCCAAGACAGCAAAGCGGCUCUUUUGGCGCAUUUACCAAGAGGACUAACAUGGCCACAAAUUCAUGAGAUCAUGCAGGAGCCGUACAGUAUAACAGCAGUACAAGUUCUAUAAAAGAUCCACGACCUACUGAAGCCCAGCUAAUUAACAAAAAAGUUUUUAAAAACUGUAAUUUUAUCCCACCUGGGUACUUAUAAUUUACUAACUGUCACUUGGAAAGUAAUACAUGUACAUGCAUUCAUGUUCUGAAUUUCUUUGAACAAUAAAAUUAUAUAAAAGUAUUUUAAUGAAAUUGAGCACCUAAAUUGCAUUAAAGUGAAAGUAGCUGAGAAAAAUAGUAUCCUUAAUUGUUCUCAUGGGCAGCUACAUAUAUUGUGACAAACAUGAAGUAGCUAAAAUAACUUAAAUUUUUCAUUUUGUUUCUUGUAUAUCGUUUGUACAGGGUUCGUGAAUUGUUACUGUAUAUUACUUGACUUGCUUGUAUUUUGUUACUUUGAAUACAUGUUGUUAAGGUUGCAUUAUACUUUUUAACUUUUAAAGUAGCGCCUGUUCUGUUAUGUAAGGGCCUGAUUUAUGAUAAUGGACCUAGAGGCUUUGUAAGCAUGUAUUAAACAACACUUGUUUGAUCUGAAUAAUUUGUUAAAUAAAUGUAACACAAUUUGUAAUCUGAUGUUAUAUUUUGAUGAAUUGUGAACAAAAUAAUACAUCGAAGAAACUAA